rnacentral:rRNA from 1 species
GGCUACUACAUCCAAGGAAGGCAGCAGGCGCGCAAAUUACCCAAUGCUAACUCAGCGAGGUAGUGACGAUAAAUACUGAUACAGGGCUCUUUUGGGUCUUGUAAUUGGAAUGAGUACAAUUUAAAUCCCUUAACGAGGAACAAUUGGAGGGCAAGUCUGGUGCCAGCAGCCGCGGUAAUUCCAGCUCCAAUAGCGUAUAUUAAAGUUGUUGUGGUUAAAAAGCUCGUAGUUGAACCUUGGGCCUGGCUGGCCGGUCCGCCUCACCGCGUGCACUGGUCCGGCCGGGCCUUUCCCUCUGUGGAACCCCAUGUCCUUCACUGGUCGUGGCGGGGAAACAGGACUUUUACUUUGAAAAAAUUAGAGUGUUCAAAGCAGGCCUAUGCUCGGAUACAUUAGCAUGGAAUAAUAGAAUAGGACGUGUGGUUCUAUUUUGUUGGUUUCUAGGACCGCCGUAAUGAUUAAUAGGGACAGUCGGGGGCAUCAGUAUUCAAUUGUCAGAGGUGAAAUUCUUGGAUUUAUUGAAGACUAACUACUGCGAAAGCAUUUGCCAAGGAUGUUUUCAUUAAUCAGGAACGAAAGUUAGGGGAUCGAAGACGAUCAGAUACCGUCGUAGUCUUAACCAUAAACGAUGCCGACUAGGGAUCGGACGAUGUUAUUUUUUGACUCGUUCGGCACCUUACGAGAAAUUAAGAGUGUUUGGGUUCCAGGGGGAGUAUGGUCGCAAGGCUGAAACUUAAAGAAAUUGACGGAAGGGCACCACCAGGAGUGGAGCCUGCGGCUUAAUUUGACUCAACACGGGGAAACUCACCAGGUCCAGACAAUAUGAGGAUUGACAGAUUGAGAGCUCUUUCUUGAUUUAUUGGUUGGUGGUGCAUGGCCGUUCUUAGUUGGUGGGAUGACUUGUCUGCCUAAUCGCGAUAACGAACGAGACCUUAACCUGCUAAAUAGCCCACAUUGCUUUGGCAGUAUGCUGGCUUCUUAGAGGGACU